AAGCACCUGCUUUUCAGCUCAUGGCUUUCCACUGAGGUGCUGGGAUCACGUGGUCUUAGCUUUCUGCCUGCUAAUGUGAGAGUAUAACCCCCUUUUCUUCCUGACUAGGUAGUGCCGUGCUGAACGGCAGUUACUCUGUAAACUGGUAGAGAGGACACAAAUCUACAAAAAGCCACUAGGAGCAGACGGCUGGGAAGGAAAAGCCAUUUUUUUCUGUUUUCCCUGCUGGCCCUGGUGCACAGGCCUCUCCUUUCUCUCAUCAUCGGGGCCUCACCUUUGCUACACUUCCUCAGAUAACCGCUUCUUUUUCUCAAGGUUUGCUUUGAGUUUACAAACAAACCGACUUUCCCCCUUCCUUUGCUCUAUCAUUAACUUUGAAACAGCAUUUUUAGAAAAGACAGUAAAGAAUCCACCUGCAAUGCGGGAGACCUGGGUUCCAUCCCUGGGUUAGGAAGUUCCCCUGGAGGAGGGCAUGGCCACUCACUCCAGUGUUCUUGCCUGGAGAAUCCCCACGGACAGAGGAGCCUGGCGGGCUACAGUCCAUGGAGUCGCCGAGAGUCGGACACAUGGAGCAUCUAAGGAAUCUUCCUGACACGGGGAUUGAACCCGCGUCUCCUACAUUGGCAGGCUGAUUCUUUACCACUGAGCCACCAGGGAAGCCCAGGACAUGCUGCCUGCACACAUGAAAAGCAAUAAUUUGUGGAUCUAGCUUGCCCCUGAAGGGACAAGAAAACUCCCCUGCUCAACCUGGAGGAGGAACUGAUGAUGGAAGCAUGAUGUCUACUCAAAAAAAAGAAGGAAGUUCUUCUCCCCCUCCCCACAUUUUUUAUUGUAAAACUGUAGCCCGGUAAGUUCUUGGGACACAGCAUUUCUCACCCACCCACCUGUCAGCCUCACAAACGUCCUAUUCUAAUAAAUCACUUCUUAUCUA